CUGCCNAGUGAUUAAGUUUAAACGGCCGCGGUAUCCUAACCGUGCAAAGGUAGCAUAAUCACUUGCCUAUUAAUUGUAGGCUAGAAUGAAUGGAUAAACGUAAUAAGAGCUGUCUCGAUCGCUAUCUUAUAAAUUAACAUCUGUAUGAAGAGUUACAAAUUAGUUCGGAGGACAAGAAGACCCUAUAGAGCUUUAUUUUUAAUACAGGUAAGUGCUGUAUUAUAAAUUCGGUUGGGGCGACCAAGGGUAGUAUACAUCACCCUGUACUAUAAUGAUGCAUUAAUCUAAAAAAUGACCCUAAUAAGAUCAUAAAAAUAAGCUACCUUAGGGAUAACAGGCUAAUCCCAUUUAAGAGUUCAUAUCUACAAUGGGGUUUGGCACCUCGAUGUUGGCUUAGGGAGCCCCUUAGCGCAAAAGUUAAGAAGAGAUGGUUUGUUCAACCAAUAAC
rnacentral:rRNA from 1 species